UGGGGGCUGGGGAGUGACUCCCCACAUUCUUUAAAGCCAUUCCCAUUAUGUCAUGAAUACUCUAGUAUCAGAUGUAGCAACACCUCUCUAAGGAGCAGGAUAUCCCCCUGGGGCAUCUGUAACUUCAGCACUGGUCCUGAGGGCCCCCCUCCACUCACCUCUAAAAAUAGCUCAGGAGUUCCCAUUGUGGCUCAGUGGUUUAAGAACCCAACCAAUAUCCAUGAGGAUGCAGGUUCAAUCCCUGGCCUUGCUUAGUGGGUUAGGGAUCUGACAUUGCCACAAACUGCAGUGUAGAUUGCAGAUGUGGCUCAGAUCUGGCGUAGACCUGCAGCUGCAGCUCUGAUUUGACCCCUAGCCUGGGAACUUCCUCAUGUGUGGCCCUUAAAAACAUGAAUGAAUAAAUAAAUACAUAAAUAAAGCAGCUCAGGGAGUUCCCUGGUAGCCUAGUGGUUAGGACUUGGUACUUUCACUGCUAUAGACCAGGUUCAGUCCCUGGUCUGGGAACUGAGAUCCCACAUCAUCAAGCUGCUGCGUGCCAAGGCCAAUACAUAGAUAGAUGGAUAUAUACAUACAUACAAACAUAUAUACAUACAUACAUAUAUAGCAGCUCAGAAACUGUAUUUCCCUCCACAAGGGGUACAGGGAAAUUUCCAGCCACAGUGGAGGCUCACCUGCAGGAAAUCCCUACUCUUCCAACAGGAGAUACAGUCUGCACAUCUCUGUUUUCUGGUUUUCAAAUCCUAUUGAAUUUCUUCCUGUCUCAUUUUCCUGAUUUUGUUUUUAUUUUCUCACAAUACAGGUUUUUCUCACCAUAAGAGGUAUGAGAUGUAGUUAUUAAAACGGUACUUUAAAUGCUGAUAUAUUUAAUUUUUAAAGAUUUAACCCCAAGAGUUCAUAAUCACCACUAGCACUUGGAAGGAGUGAUGAAUGUAAGCCGUGUUUCGAGGUAUCCACGACAGCAGGAACGUGACGUAAAAUUAAAGUUUCUGCUGAUACCCCUGUGGCUUGUUGCCUGAAUUCAUAAUGAAAGAGAAUGAAGAUAAAGAUAGGGGGUUUGGGGUUGGUUUGUUUCUUUUCCCCUAGUUUUUUUCUUUUUUCUUUUUUUUGUUUUUGUUUCUGUUUUUGUUUUCUUUGUAGGGCCAUACCUGAGGCAUUAUGGAAGUUCCCAGGCUAGAGGUCAAAUUGGAGCUGCAGCUGCCAGCCUACACCACAGCCAUGCCAGAUCUAUCCGAGCCACAUCUGUGACUAUGCUGAAGCUUGUGGCAACGCCAGAUCCUUAACUUGCUGACAAGGCCAGGGAUUGAACCUGCAUCCUCAUGGAGAUUAAUCAGGUUUGUAACCCACUGAGCCACAACAGGAACUCCUCCCCAGCCUAGUUCAUGAGGGCCCUGAUUUUUAUAUCUUGCGCCCCUUGGGUUAAAAACCCUUGUCCCCUUAGAGCCAUGUUAGAUCAGACGUAGCUGUCUAAAUGUAUGACAGAUUUCCUCUAAUUUUCUAUCACAUCAGACAGCUUUUUGAAGGUCUGCAUUCCAGAGUGAUUCUUGCAGUUGUAAACCCCACAUCUACCUGCCAUCAGUGUGGAAAACCCACAGCUUAGUCUAAGUGACUGGACAGCAAGUCCGGGUCCCUGCCAGUCCUGAUUGCCUUUUCUAUUUUCAAAUACAAGGAGAACACCCACGGUGGAUGGGCAUGAUUUCCUCUCACACAGUGAGUGCUCCUCAGCUCAGCCCUCAGACGCCUCUGGGCUGUUUUCUCUUCACCAUCCAUCACAGUUUGCAUGUCUUUGGCCUCAGUCCUCAGCCCAGAGAGGGUUACCUGCAGGACUGCUGGCCCCAGCUCUGCUCCCCGAGGGCACUGAGCCUGCCCGUGGCUGCAGGGACAGUGCCCCAGGGCGUCUGGCCUCACCUCUACCUCCACAGUGGGAUGGGGUACAGAGUUUGGGCCAGAAAAUUUGGGUUUCAGCCUCUGUGCCCUGCUGCCUGUGUGCUUGGGGACAAAAAUCAUAGUUCUUAGAGCCUGGGCUUUGGGGGUAUAAAAUGGGGGUGAAAUAAGAACCCUUUCAGAGGGUGGAAAGACAGCAGCCUUGAAGAUAAGGCACUUUGUGAAUGGCGGCCGCUGCUCAUUGUGCAGCCGAGGCUUCUUCAGCUGGGGCUUCUUCAGCCAGGACGUCAGGGCCCAUUGACAGACCACAUGUUCACCCUGCAUGGGUCCUCAGUUUUCUGCUGGGUCCUGUCGGUCUCUUGAGCUCCUGCCCUUUGUAACCUGUGCCUGAAGGCCCAACCCAGCCUCGCUCCGUCCACCCUGCCCUACAGACCUCACUCUUCCACAGAUCCAGGCCUGAGUAGAGAACACACCGUGCCUGGGUCCCCUGCCACCUUCGCACCUCCGCUCUUCAUGCCUGGAAGCUUCUCUCAGCUCACCCCAAGGCCCCCCAUUAGCUCCUUCUUCACAGAGCCCUCCUUUCUGCAUUCCUGCAGCCUCUGGGGAUGUCUCCUGAAUAAGGUCCCCUUCUGAGGUGCUGGGGGUUAGGACUUUGGCACAUGAAUUUGUGGGGCACAGCUUAGCCCCUCACUUAGCACACGGUCAUCUCCUGCCCAUGUGCUGUGUCUCCUCUUUGGGGAAGCAUUCUCUGUAUGUCCCUCUGCACCCCUGAAGUGCUUGAGUACACUGUGAGGCAGCUGCCUUGACCUCAAUCAGCAGGUCACAGUCUAGUCAGGGACACAGGGCUGUUCACCUAUAGGCAGGAUAGUGAGAAACACCACCUGAGUGAAAAACAAAACAAAACAAAAAAAAGACAAAGCACUGUAGGAGCUUAGAGGAUUGUAAAGCCAAAGAGUAACCCUGGAGAGGACCACUGCAUCCCCAGGGUACCAGUUGGGAGGAUUCCAUCAGGAAUAUCUGGUCAGCAUCAUUCUUUUCUCAACCACAGUCAUGUCGCCAGCCCCACCCUGCCCAGAGCUAGCCUUCAGUAGAGGACAAACACAGACCUGGCACUUUGGCUUGAGAGGCGAAACUCUGAUGGUUUCUCAUGAAGAGCAAGGGUCAGGCCCAUGCUGGGUGGGAGGCUGGCUGUCCAGCCAGCUGGGAGCUGCAAGUUAUUCUUGGCCACCUUGAUCCCUGGAUCCCCUUGCUCUCAACCUUCCCUUGCAGCGUGCAGAAGGGCAGAGCCAUCUCUUCCCCCCUCAUGACAAAACCUGGAGGCAUGUACCCCAGGGCAGGAUUUGUGUCAUGUUUGAUGAUUCAAAUAUUUCAAGAGGUCAAGUUGUACAUUCACUUGUGCUUCAAGUAAAGCCCUCAGUUAUUUAUUUUUUUACAUUAUGUUUUUCUUCUGUCCCUUCUUUUCUCAUGGGAUAAUCUCAUUUCCACUCAGUUUCCAUAAUGUAUAUCUACUGAUAACCCAAAGGCUAUUGUCUCAAGUGGAGAUAACCCCAAGGCCAUUGUCUCCAAAUGUAGAUAACCCCAAGGCCAUUCUCUCCAGGUGUCGAUAACCCCAGAGCCUUAUCUCCAGCCCUUACCACUGCCCCCAGUUCUGGCUGAGCUGCCUACCACCUUUGAGGCCCCUCUGGUUAGACAUCCAAAAUAAGCUACAUCCCAUUUGCUCCUCCCCUUCAUUCCUGCUUCUCUUUCACUGUCCCCCUUGCACCUUAAAGCCUUAAGAGGGCAACUCUUGCAGCCCACCCCCCCAUGAACACACACACAGCACCCUGCAGUCCUGGGCCCUUGGACUCUGCCUGACUGGACACAGAGUCUCAGGGUGGGGCUCUGUGCCAUUCACUAUCUACUUGGGGUGGCUCCUCAUCUCAGCUGCCCUCCACCCACACUUUCUCUGAGGCCCCCAGGAGGGUAUGGGCUCCCUGGAAACACCCAGGCCUUGGCCUACAUGCGUGUCUCUGUCCCAGGCCCUGGUGCUGAGGAAGCUCCUGGGACUGGGUGAUAGAGGCCAGGGACACCCUCACCUGGCUGAUUCCUCCUCACCUUCUCCCCUGCCUGGGCCUCAGCUGCCCUGCCUAGGCUCCGCGGAACUCUGCUUAAAUUCCUCAAGGCCAUAAUGUUUGUCCUCAAGGUCAAAGUUGUGUUUGGAAAUGUUCUCCUCACACCUUGGGACUCUUACUGCCUGCCAGGCUCUGGAGGAUGCAUGGGGUAACACCUUGGGGACAGGCCAGACUGAGGGCACAGGAACCUCGCUGCAGCCCAUUAGCAGCCCCAAGCACCACCCCCCUCCCCAGGAGGGACAGAGCGGUCAGACCUGGUUCUAAGCCUUGGCCAUUUUCCCUUGGAGGCAGGGUCUGCCUGGCUCUCACCAGCCAUUUAAACAGGGCUCUCAGCCGUGGGGCCGGAGAACAUUCCCGGGAAGUGAUCCCCAUCACCUGCAGGGGGCACUGUGCCCACCACUGCCUCUGUCCUUGCUUCCCUUUCCCCACUGAGCAUCCCCACCCUCCUCAGCUUCCAAACCUCACCUCUCACCCCUUCACAGACCUCCGAGACUGUCUGUGCUGUGACGUUUCAGGCAGGCACUUUGGUGAUGAGAGGGCGCAGGUUAAACUUAGUUCUGCUGCAGCCACUCUGUGCUUUGGCCACAUGCCUACCUGCGAUGCCCUGAGCCUGUUUUCCAUCUUGGCAAUAGGUGGUUUUAUCUCAUUCAGGGGGACUGUACGUGAUCAAGCUGGUUGAGACUUGUUGGGGGGCAGUGCUGGCCGACAGUGGACUCAGGAAAGACCAUCUUGCUCUGCUCCACCUAAGGCCUUAGGGCAGAAUUGUUCUGGGUUGGCAUGGGGAGGGGAAGGUGAUAAUUUUUACAUUGUGUGUGUGUGUGUUGUUGUGUUUUACGUUAAUACAGAUUUAAAACUGUUUGCUGGUCUGUCUUCAUUGCUGUAGCAUGCAGUAGCAAGUUUUCCCUAGUUGUUUGUGAAGCUGGAGGUGACUGGGCCUUUAGGGCUGCCCCUCUCCUGCAAGUUCGGUGACCUUGGGGACAGGCUGGACCUCAGCCUGAGUCACGGCAGCAUCACCUGGGAGCGGGUAAAGUGGCCAGCCCAAUUUCUGAUGGAAUAGUUCUGGGAUGAGGCCCAAAGAUCUGCCUUUCCAACCAGUGGCUCAGUUCCUGGGUGAAUUGUUGCUGUGGGGCCACUCUGAGCCACUGCCCUAAAGCACACAGAUAAACGUGGUAAUUUUGGUUGGGGACUGAUAACCAUCCUCCCUUUGGAGGGCCUCCUCAGGGACAUGUUACAAGGGGCUCAAUAUCCUUAGGCACAUUUUCUGAGGCUGCUGUAAGAGAUGGGCACAUUCCUGUGUCACAUCUGUCGCAGCCUGCAUCCCAGCAUGCCAAUGCCUGUAAAGUGCUCUGAUAGAAAGAGUCCUAUAGCACCACUCCCCUCUCCUUGUCUUCCUGGGACCUCAGAUUCCUGUGUGAUCCCUGCUGGAGGACAUGGGCUGGGAACCAUGCAGUCAUUGUGUAGCCUCGGGCUCCAUAUCCACGGAUCACCCACUGGUACGCACUGCACAGGACCAGGCAGGACUUUCAGGCAGCACGGCUCACUGGCUGCAACCAGGACAGCAUUUUUUAAAGUUUUUAAAAAUACUUUUUAUUUUAUGUUAUUCUGUUUUAAGUAUAGUUGAUUUACAAUGUUGUGUUUUAAAAUAUUUUUUAAAGCUCCAAGUAUUUUUAAUUGCUUCAAACAACCCAAUAGAAAAAGAAUUUUUCAUGGAGUUCCCGUUGUGGCUUUGGGAGUUAAGGAUCUGACAUCUCUGUGAGGAUAUGGGUUUGAUCCCUGGCCUUGUCCAGUGGGUUAAGGAUCUGGCGUUCCCACAAGCUGCAGUGUAGGUCACAGAUGAGGCUUGGAUCUGGUGUUGCUGUGGCUGUGGUUUAGGCCAGCAGCUGCAGAUUUGAUCCCUAGUCUGGGAACUUCCAUAUGCCACAGGUGCAGUCAUAAAGAAGAAAAAAACAAAAAAAAUCAUUUUUUCAGUCAAUCAAGAAAAUUGAACAUAUUAUUGAUUGUAUGAUUUUUAAAUUACUGUUAAUUGUGUUGGGUAUGCCAAAAAGAUAUUAUUUUCUUCUGUCAAAAGUCCUUGUCUGUUAGAGAUACCUACUCAGAUAUUUAUGAGUGGAAUGAUGUGACAUCAGAAAUUUGGUUCGUCAUGGCUCAGUGGUUAACAAACCUGACUAGCAUCCAUGAGAAUACAGGAAGAUCCCUGGCCUCCAUCAGUGGGUUAAGGAUCUGACAUUUCUGUGAGCUGUGGUGUAGGUCACAGACACAGCUCAGAUCCUGAGUUGCUGUGGCUCUGGCAUAGGCCAGUGGCUACAGCUCUGAUUCAACCCCUAGCCUGGGAGUCUCCAUAUGCUGCUGGUGUGGCCCUAAAAGACAAAAAGACAAAAAAAUAAAAAAUAAAAGCCACCAACAAAACAAGGGUGAGAGGAAGAGGUGAAAGAAGAAUGUGUGUUAGUUGUCAGAACUGGGUGCUGCCAUAUAUACUACACUUUCUACUUUAGUAUAUGUUUGCCAAUUUUAAAUACAAAGUUAAA
rnacentral:tRNA from 1 species